rnacentral:rRNA from 1 species
AUUGAACGCUGGCGGCAUGCCUUACACAUGCAAGUCGAACGGCAGCACGGGAGCAAUCCUGGUGGCGAGUGGCGAACGGGUGAGUAAUGUAUCGGAACGUGCCCAGUCGUGGGGGAUAACGCAGCGAAAGCUACGCUAAUACCGCAUACGAUCUAUGGAUGAAAGCGGGGGAUCGCAAGACCUCGCGCGAUUGGAGCGGCCGAUAUCAGAUUAGGUAGUUGGUGGGGUAAAGGCCCACCAAGCCUUCGAUCUGUAGCUGGUCUGAGAGGACGACCAGCCACACUGGAACUGAGACACGGUCCAGACUCCUACGGGAGGCAGCAGUGGGGAAUUUUGGACAAUGGGCGCAAGCCUGAUCCAGCAAUGCCGCGUGCAGGAUGAAGGCCUUCGGGUUGUAAACUGCUUUUGUACGGAGCGAAAAGGCUCUCUCUAAUACAGGGGGCUCAUGACGGUACCGUAAGAAUAAGCACCGGCUAACUACGUGCCAGCAGCCGCGGUAA